UCCCCAAACGACGGCAUUCCCGCGAAAAAAAAAGUCACCCGAGCUGCCAGCUUGCAACUUCGGUCUCUGACGUCGGCCUCGGGACCUCUCAUUCAGCGUUUUUAAACACCUGCAAGGGAGCUUGUUCUUAGAAGGAGACUGGCCAGGCUGGUGGUGGGUCCGUUCUGUGCCUGGAACUGUACAGGAGGUGGUCCAUCUGUCCACUGCAAGAUAACAAACAGCAUGAAAAUCCCACAGCUGCCACCGGGGAGGGGAGAGGAGGAGGAGGAAGAGGAACACGGCAGCGAGGCCGGAGGAAGGAGCUCGCCCUCCAGACGUUCACUUCCUCCUGAUGAAAUCUUUUUUAAUUAGCUCAAGAAGUUGCCUAUCAGGUUUGACUCUGCUUCACGUGCUCGGAGCUCCCGGCCCUUGAGGAUCUUUGGAAUCCGCGUGCCCGGCGGUCCAGACCCCGCUCCGGAAAAUCCAGGGAAAGCACUGGAAACCUCCCACCCUCCCAACAGGGAAAACCAGGACAAACCCUGACUUUAGAUGGGUCUGAGCCCAUUAAACGCUGCAGCUCCAGCCUUUCCAGAAGCAAGUACAGCCUCUGGUUCUCACCCUUUUCACUACUCGAGUGUUUUCCUCUUAAAUUAAUAAAAAUCUUCUAAAAUGGGCAAA